CUGAGCCGGGCGGCGGCGGCUCUG
rnacentral:misc_RNA from 1 species